GCCCGAACGUGUUUCUACGUCUCCAUAAUGUGUAAACAUGGUUAAUGAUUGGUCUUAACAAAUUCGUAAAAAACGUCAUUAUAACAAAUAUGUAUACAAACUAUAAGCUUAAUAUUUAGUUUUCUCUCUAUUUUUAAAGCGAACAAAUCAAGCAAAUAAAAGAUGAUGCAACAACUUCUAAUCAUCCGGAAAAUACCACCAAAGCAUGCGGUGAACCAUCCAAUAGAAUAUCAAGUUUCCGAGAGUACCUAUAUCAGCAAGGAUAUCUGUUGAAAUUAUACUAUGUAAAAUAGUAGGUGAAUCCGUUGAUCAUAUACACAAGUGAAUAAUGUCUCUUUGCAGCUUUUCAAGUAAAUGGAAUGGCCAAAAAGUUUUGUUCGUGAUAAUUGCUAUUGGGGUCUUUAAGCGUAGUCUUGGCCUGGCGCUCCCCUCCAGAUUACUUACUGGUUCGUUGGAGCAGCGGCGUGGUACUGUUCCGUUAGGAGUUGUUUCGAAGGUUGUUCGAAAUCAACAGUCGAGCUCAUGCCUGUGAUCCAAGUUCAAUCAUCGUAAUCAAAACAAUCAGUCAAAAUUGAAUUCUUGUUCGGGUUUCGAAGUUGUUAAUCGGAACCGACGUUAGAGAGCUCAUGAUCGGGACCGAGUGAAGGGUGCGACGUCAGCAGUGGCUUAAUGGGAGCAAGCCAGGUUCCGACUUGCAAUCAAAGGCGACACAAUACUUGAUAUAAGUGGUUUUUCGUUUGUGAUUCGAUUAAUAUUUUUUAUGCAAAUUGUUGACUUUAAAUGUUUCUCUUGGAAACUAUGAUUUGAAAACGGAGUUAUUGCAAGUUGAUAACAGGAAGUUUUGUUACAGAAAAGUCAACUUGGAGGUUUUCUUUUUCUUUGGAAUUGCGAUAAUAAAAAAAGGGGUCUUUUAUUUA